rnacentral:lncRNA from 1 species
UUGGAUCUUGUGACUAGCACUUCCUUCCUGCCGGGUGUGGCAGUUGGGUCUUGUGACUAGCACUUCCUUCCUGCCCUGUGGGACUUGCUUCUGGGUAUUGGAGGAGAGAGGAGCUUGUUCAGCCCAGUCUGGAGUGGCAUGCUCUUCUUGGUUCAGCCCAAAGUGAAGAUUUCCCAGUGACAUGGCUGGGGGCCCUAAUGGCAGCCUCAGAAUAGCAAGCUACAUGGAGCAUUGAGGUAAGUAUAUCUUUCUCUUAUUUUCCCAUCUUUUCCCCAUACUACUUUUGAUUAAUAAAAUUAUUAAUU